GACGAACGCUGGCGGCGUGCUUAACACAUGCAAGUCGAACGGAAAGGCCCUGCUUUUGUGGGGUGCUCGAGUGGCGAACGGGUGAGUAGCACGUGAGUAACCUGCCCUUGACUUUGGGAUAACUUCAGGAAACUGGGGCUAAUACCGGAUAGGAGCUCCUGCUGCAUGGUGGGGGUUGGAAAGUUUCGGCGGUUGGGGAUGGACUCGCGGCUUAUCAGCUUGUUGGUGGGGUAGUGGCUUACCAAGGCUUUGACGGGUAGCCGGCCUGAGAGGGUGACCGGCCACAUUGGGACUGAGAUACGGCCCAGACUCCUACGGGAGGCAGCAGUGGGGAAUAUUGCACAAUGGGCGGAAGCCUGAUGCAGCAACGCCGCGUGCGGGAUGACGGCCUUCGGGUUGUAAACCGCUUUCGCCUGUGACGAAGCGUGAGCGACGGUAAUGGGUAAGAAGCACCGGCUAACUACGUG
rnacentral:rRNA from 1 species